rnacentral:rRNA from 1 species
AGCUCCAAUAGCGUAUAUUAAAGUUGUUGCAGUUAAAAAGCUCGUAGUUGGAUUUCUGUGGAGCACAGUAGUGGUGGCGUUCAUAAAGGCGUCUGCUAUUACGAACUCCUCAUAAUGUCUGUCGCUGUCUUCUGCCCUUAACUGGGUGGUUGGUGGUGGUGGACCGAUUACCUUGAACAAAUUAGAGUGUUCAAAGCAGGCAAGCUUUUGCCCUGAAUAAAUUAGCAUGGGAUAAUGGAAUAUGACUCGGUCCAAGUUUGUUGGUCACCUUGGGCCGGGUAAUGAUUAAUAGAGAUUGUCGGGGUCAUUCAUAUUCAAUUGUCAGAGGUGAAAUUCUUAGAUUUCUUGAAGAUGAACUGAUGCGAAAGCGUUUGACAAGGAUGUUCUCA